rnacentral:rRNA from 1 species
AGAAUGAACGCUGGCGGCAUGCCUAACACAUGCAAGUCGAACGAAUUACCUUCGGGUAGUUAGUGGCGCACGGGUGCGUAACGCGUGGGAAUCUGCCCUUGGGUUCGGAAUAACAGUGAGAAAUUACUGCUAAUACCGGAUAAUGACGUAAGUCCAAAGAUUUAUCGCCCAAGGAUGAGCCCGCGUAAGAUUAGCUAGUUGGUGGGGUAAAGGCCUACCAAGGCGACGAUCUUUAGCUGGUCUGAGAGGAUGAUCAGCCACACUGGGACUGAGACACGGCCCAGACUCCUACGGGAGGCAGCAGUGGGGAAUAUUGGACAAUGGGCGAAAGCCUGAUCCAGCAAUGCCGCGUGAGUGAUGAAGGCCUUAGGGUUGUAAAGCUCUUUUACCCGGGAAGAUAAUGACUGUACCGGGAGAAUAAGCCCGGCUAACUCCGCGCCAGCAGCCGC